CGAUCAUGCAAGCAUUAGCAAUGUCAUGUUUGAUCUUGAUAGAACUGUGAUUCACUCUGCAGGAUCGUCGUCAUUCCGAUCGUAUUAUAGAAUUUGUGUAUGCCGAAGAGUAUACAAAUCUUAACGACGUAAUUUUCUUGAAAACGAAGCCGCAAACAAAUAAUCGUUAUCCUAUAUUUUUGAUUUAUCUUUUCAUAAGUAAUUCAUCGUUGUCAUCCUAUACUGUUUGUUCCGAAACACACUCUAUAGUGGAACAAAUGAAUUGUUCAUAGAUGUAAUUUCGUUAUCAUUAAAUUAUUGUUUUAUUAUCAUGUAUUUAUCAAGUUACUUUUAUUAGAUUUUGUAAUCUACAUUGAGGAAAAACAACUUUUGUACGUUAUCCCCUAUAUAAAUAUUAAACAAUCGAAAUUAUUUUAUUUCAAACAAUUUUCCCAUGAAUGAAACUGUUUAUAUAAGUACAAAAAUAUUUUAAAUAGAACAUAAAUAUUUUGAAACAAUACGCUGUCAUUAAAGUUAUAGUAUAGUAAAUAAAUAAAUACUUGAUAAAGAUUUUAAUGUUUCGACGAAUUAUUGUGGCGUAAAUGCACCAAAUUUUCACCAGAGGGACACGUUUCUCACUUGCGAAAAGGGCACUGGCGUAAGAUAAAUUUCAACGUAAGGACGGUGCCUAUACCUUCGUUCCCCUUCAAAUAACGUAUAAAUCUUUCGCCUUUUACUAAAGAUUUCCGUGGAGGGGAACAAUUGAUAAGUUUAUAACUUAAUUUUUUGUUAUACCCAACUUAGGUUGGGUAAUUAAUAAUUCAAAGCAUAAUCAGUUGAACGAUUAUUAUUGCCGAGAGGUUAUGCGUGCGACUUUUUCCACGCAUAAACAAUUUAAUAGAGACGCAGUGAAAGCGAAGUUGUUGUGUAUAUACGCCUUAAGUAUGUGUAUUAUAAACUUUGACCAGAGAGAGGAGUCCCAACUGGUUUCACGACGAAAGCAGUAGUGAAUAGGAUAUACGUGAUUGUUAUUUCAAUCGUGACGUUUGUCAAGAAAGAGAGUUUUCAAGUAAAAACUAGCAAUCACAUAAAGAGAAUAAAUAAAGUUUAUAACCAUAAUUGUGUAACAAAAAAAAAAAAAAAAAAAACGGGCUCGUCCGGGAUUUGAACCCGGGACCUCUCGCACCCUAAGCGAGAAUCAUACCCCUAGACCAACGAGCCGCUAUGUAGUCGGGUUGAUCGAUAAAUAUUAUAAGAGUGAACAGUUAUAUUGUAAUAUUAAUAAUAAUAAAAUAAUUGC